rnacentral:piRNA from 1 species
UCAGAGAACUCUUCUUGUGCAAACCUCGGG